rnacentral:lncRNA from 1 species
CAAGACACAAAGUGGAGGAUGGGGAUGCUGAUGCCAUUGGAAGAGGGAGAAGCCAUGGAAGGAUGGACGCAGGUGGAGAGGAUUAGAGAUUUAAGGACGCAUGUGGUGGUGGUGGUGGUGUUCUACCAUCGAGCUGUUCAAUGGUGGGCCUGCUACCAUGAGCGCACUAGUGUGUGCAGCAACACCAACACCGGCUGAAGGGCUUUGGUGUGCUAUUGGGAGU